GUCGUGGGCGCAGGAAAUUUGAGAGGAGCUGUCCUUAGUACGAGAGGACCGGGAUGGACGUACCGCUGGUGCACCAGUUGUUCCGCCAGGAGCAUGGCUGGGUAGCUACGUACGGACGGGAUAAGCGCUGAAAGCAUCUAAGCGUGAAGCCCCCCUCAAGAUGAGAUUUCCCAACACGUAAGACCCCUUGAAGACGACGAGGUAGAUAGGUUGGAGGUGGAAGUGCAGCAAUGCAUGGAGCUGACCAAUACUAAUCGGUCGAGGGCUUAUCCAA
rnacentral:rRNA from 1 species